rnacentral:rRNA from 1 species
CCUACGGGAGGCAGCAGUGAGGAAUAUUGGUCAAUGGAGGCAACUCUGAACCAGCCAAGUCGCGUGAAGGAUGAAGGUCUUAUGGAUUGUAAACUUCUUUUGCAAGGGAAUAAAGUGGGGGACGUGUCCUCCUUUGCAUGUACCUUGCGAAUAAGGAUCGGCUAACUCCGUGCCAGCAGCCGCGGUAAUACGGAGGAUCCGAGCGUUAUCCGGAUUUAUUGGGUUUAAAGGGUGCGCAGGCGGGAUGUUAAGUCGGCGGUGAAAUUUUGCAGCUCAACUGUAAAAGUGCCUUCGAUACUGGCUUUCUUGAGUGUGGAUGAAGUAGGCGGAAUUUGUGGUGUAGCGGUGAAAUGCUUAGAUAUCACGAGGAACUCCGAUUGCGCAGGCAGCUUACUAAACCACUACUGACGCUCAUGCACGAAGGCGUGGGGAUCAAACAGGAUUAGAUACCCUGGUAGUCCACGCAGUAAACGAUGAUUACUAGUUGUUUGCGAUACAAUGUAAGCGACUGAGCGAAAGCGUUAAGUAAUCCACCUGGGGAGUACGUUCGCAAGAAUGAAACUCAAAUGAAUUGACGG